rnacentral:rRNA from 1 species
GGGGUAUCUAAUCCCUUUCGCUCCCCUAGCUUUCGUCCCUCAGUGUCAGUUGCGGCCUAGCAGAGCGCUUUCGCCACCGGUGUUCUUCCCAAUAUCUACGCAUUUCACCGCUACACUGGGAAUUCCCUCUGCCCCUACCGCACUCAAGCUCUAUAGUUUCCACUGCCGAUCCACAGUUGAGCUGNGGGCUUUGACAGCAGACUUAUACAGCCACCUACGGACGCUUUACGCCCAAUAAAUCNGGGAUAACGCUUGCAUCNUCCGUANU